ACCGGUGAACACCUUCUUCCGGCGAUACUAGAAAACGCAGCAGGCCGUGUUUCGGCGAGCGACUAGGUACCCGGCCCCCUCUCUCGUUCUGGUUGCACCGGCGGACAACCCCUUCUGGUUUUAGGGGUGACCGGCCGGCAACUGUUGCUAAACUCAGACACGCGCGCGCGCAUACACAUACGCACAUACUUGUUGGCUGCCGUAGGCACUAGGGAUGGUUAAGAAGGGAGUUGAAGUGUUUGAGGAGUCAAUGGGACAGAAUAAAAGUGAACCAUUUCUGCCAUGGAUGAGGAAUCCAGUGGAUGUUGAUUCUUAUGAAGAAUGCACUCUCGAAGUUGUUCCUUACUUAGAUCCCAGGUUGGUGGAGGCUUUACAAAAAAAGGGAAUCAAUUCACUCUUUCCAAUUCAAGUGGCAGUCUGGCAAGAGACAAUUGGACCAGGUGGCUGGGAACGUGACUUAUGCAUAAACUCACCGACAGGAAGUGGCAAGACGUUGGCUUAUGCUUUACCAAUUGUCCAAAUGCUCUCUACUCGUAAAUUGAAACACUUGCGGGCUUUAGUUGUGCUGCCUACUCGUGAUCUUGCACUGCAGGUCUCGGAUGUGUUCUCUGCUAUUGCACCUGCAGUUGGGCUACAAGUAGGCAUUGCUGUUGGGCAGUCUUCAAUGGCUGAAGAGGUUUCAUCUCUGGUACAGAAGCCCAAGUUCUCUAUGGAAUUCUCUUGUGAUCCACCAGAUCUCUGCUCAUCACUAACAAGUUCUGUAGACAUACUUGUAGCCACACCAGGGCGAUUGAUGGACCAUAUAAAGACCACCAAAAGUUUUACACUAGAGCAUCUUUGCUAUCUAGUCAUUGAUGAAACUGAUAGAUUGCUGAGGGAUGCAUAUCAAUCUUGGUUACCUACUGUUCUUCAGCUCACUCAAAUGAAUGAACAACAAAUGCUCAGAUAUGAAGGGUCACCAACUUUUGGGCCAUUGAGAACCUUGAGAAGAUUGGGCCCUGGGAGAGGGUUGUGGAAUAAAAGAUAUCCAAGAGUCAUGAAGGUAACCCUUUCUGCUACAUUGACACGAGAUCCUAGCAAGCUUUCUCAACUUAAUCUAUAUCAUCCUUUAUUCUUGACAACUGGUGCAUCUGGAACACGGUAUCAACUCCCUAACCAGCUAGAAUCUUACAAACUGAUCUGUGAUUUGAAGAUGAAGCCCCUUUAUUUGUUUACGCUUCUUCAAAAAUUAAGUGGAGAGAAGAGCAUUAUCUUUACAUCAUCUGUACGAUCGACCCACAGACUUUGUACAUUAUUGAAUUGCUUUGGUGAAUUACCUUCUAAAAUUAGUGAAUAUUCUAGUCUUCAGCAUCAAUCUGUGCGAAGCAUGACACUUGAUGCCUUUCGGGCAGGCGACAUACAGGUCAUUGUUGCUUCAGAUGCCAUGACUCGUGGUAUGGAUAUUGAAGGGGUCUACAAUGUCAUUAAUUAUGACAUGCCUCCAUAUAUCAAGACAUAUGUUCAUCGGGCUGGUCGCACUGCUCGUGCAGGUCGACCUGGGUGUUGCUUCACAUUACUGAGGAAGGAUGAGGAAAAAGGAAAAAGUAGAAGUAAAAGAAAAGAGAGAACAAAAGGAAGGGGACCUUUUUAUCAUUUAAAGUGGGAUUGCAUCUAAGAGCUGAGAUCUCUCUAGACACCUGGAUGAAUCGCUUCCUUUUCCACUAGAAUUUGUCACAAGGAAAUCCAAGAUGAAAAAGAGUUGCUUCUGCCCAAUUUCUUGAAGUUCUAAGUUUGUCUUCUGGAUGAAGCAAGAUCCAAAUUUAGUUGCCUGUAUCACCUCUACUUUGUCUCAUGAGGUACUAAUGGCCAUAUCAAAUGAUUGUUCAACGAUAAACCAAUGAAGCAAAUUGGUUUAUACCUAUUCUCAGAUAUCAAAAGCAACAGUUUUAUUUCUCAAACAUGAGUUCCAGCUUCAAAAAGGGUUCUAUGUCAGAGACGAAGUACUUAAAUGAAGUGCAUUACAGAUCAAUUAGCAGUUGUAGAGGCUGCAAAGUGUCAGAUAAGGUUGAAGUGUAAUAAAGAUUAAGUGGAUUGGGGCCUAAAAAUCGUGUCUAUACAACCUCUUUAUAUUUGUGCUCGUUUGCUGCCUUGGAAAUUUUUGUCUGCAAAGGUCUCACAGUAUGAGAUGAUGAUGAAGAGGAAGACUGAUGGUUCUGAUGUAUAGUCCAACAGGCAUGGAGUUCUUACUAGGAUGUCCAGAAAUACGAGGGUGUGGUGAUUUUUCCCUUUUCGAGGAAGAUGCUGAGCUAUAAGUGCAUAACGAGGUCGAGAGCUAUAGGCCACUCUUCGCUUGCCACUUUGAGUGCAAGAAAUCCAUAUUUAAGAACUGUUCUUAGAAGGGAGAAUCAUCAUCGAGUAGAAAAGAGCCAGAAGUGCCAGUGGCUAGCAGGGUGGGAAGAAGCUUCUCUUGACUGGAAUAUCAUUGUCAAAUGAAGACAUUGAAGCAUGUUUUUGACAAGGGCAGCUUACGAUGAAGGUGCAAGUCUUAUGCAGUUGAACAGUGAGCUUUGGCGUCCAUUGCUAAGUGCAAAACUCCCUUUUAGCAAUGCCAGUGGCUAUUCAUCUACUUGUGUUUAAAAUUAAUGCCUGUGUGCGACAUUGCUGCCAGAGGUCAACAGGUCAAACGCUUCAAGAAGAUGUUACAAAAGGCUGGUAUCAGUAAGUGUAGCGUAUAUCCACUUGCAUCAGAUUCGAUUGAACGCCUUAUGCCUGUUUAUUCAUCUG